GUCGAGCGGUAGAGAGAAGCUUGCUUCUCUUGAGAGCGGCGGACGGGUGAGUAAUGCCUAGGAAUCUGCCUGGUAGUGGGGGAUAACGUUCGGAAACGGACGCUAAUACCGCAUACGUCCUACGGGAGAAAGCAGGGGACCUUCGGGCCUUGCGCUAUCAGAUGAGCCUAGGUCGGAUUAGCUAGUUGGUGGGGUAAUGGCUCACCAAGGCGACGAUCCGUAACUGGUCUGAGAGGAUGAUCAGUCACACUGGAACUGAGACACGGUCCAGACUCCUACGGGAGGCAGCAGUGGGGAAUAUUGGACAAUGGGCGAAAGCCUGAUCCAGCCAUGCCGCGUGUGUGAAGAAGGUCUUCGGAUUGUAAAGCACUUUAAGUUGGGAGGAAGGGCAGUAAAUUAAUACUUUGCUGUUUUGACGUUACCGACAGAAUAAGCACCGGCUAACUCUGUGCCAGCAGCCGCGGUAAU
rnacentral:rRNA from 1 species